UACGUAGGGAGCGAGCGUUGUCCGGAAUUACUGGGUGUAAAGGGAGCGUAGGCGGGUUUGUAAGUUGAAUGUGAAAUCUAUGGGCUCAACCCAUAAACUGCGUUCAAAACUGCAGAUCUUGAGUGGAGUAGAGGCAGGUGGAAUUCCUAGUGUAGCGGUGAAAUGCGUAGAUAUUAGGAGGAACACCAGUGGCGAAGGCGGCCUGCUGGGCUCUAACUGACGCUGAGGCUCGAAAGCGUGGGUAGCAAAC
rnacentral:rRNA from 1 species